rnacentral:snRNA from 1 species
GUGCUUCGUUGGCAGCACUUACACAAAAUUGGAAUGAUUCAGAGAGAGUAGUAUGUUCCCUAAGAAUGAUAUGCAAAUUUGUGAAGAAUUCCAUAUUCUU